ensembl:lncRNA
CAUUUAUUUAUUUUACUUUAAUAUUUUCCAUCUCGGUCUAUCCCAGAAGAUUGGAUAGAGUUCCCCGGGCUGUACAGCAGGACCUCAUUGCUUAUCUGUUCUAAAUGUAAUAAUUUGCAUCUACUCACCCCAGACUCCCCGUCCGUCCUGCUUCCUCCCCUGCCCCCUGGGCAACCACAAGUCUGCUCUCCAUGUCUGUGAUUGGUUCCUGUUUUGGAGACAGGUUCGUUUGUGCCAUAUUUUAGAUUCCACGCAUGAGCGACAGUAUAUGGUAUUUGUCUUUCUCUUUCUGGCAUCUGGUUAAUUUUAAUUUAAUUUUAAUUUUGGGGGCCACAUCCCCAGCCUAAGCCAGGGAUGGCACCUGUGCCACAGCAGCAAGUUGAGCCUCUAUAGUGACACCACCAGACCCUUAACCCACUGAGCCACAAGAGAACUCUCAGUUAAUUUCACAUUACAUGAAUUUGUACCUAAGCAACACACGCAGGCCUACAGUUAGAGGUUCUGGGUUCCAAUGCUGCCUCCUACCAGGGUCCGGGGAGGGACGGUGCUCAGCUUCUGGAGACUGCGUUUCCUCUUCUGUGCAGUAGGAAGUGUCAACCCUGGCCUCUGGAUGGGUGGGAGGGCCAGGGUGAAUCCCCCACCCCCGACGGAGCUGCGGCUGGUGGGCUGGUGAGAGGGCAUGACCAGGGCCAGUGGACAGGCCAGCUGAGCACCGGAUCCCACCUGGGUCCAACCCUUGACUUUCUUUCCCAGCAGAGCAGGCGCUGGAACACGUGUCAGGAGAGACGUGAAGAGACUGGUGGAUGUGGCCAUUUGUCCAGGUGUGGUCACUUCUUCAGAUAUGGUCACUUGUCUGGGUACCAUCACUUGUCCAGGUGUCAUCACUUGUCCAGGUCCGGAUCACUUGUCCAGGUCCGGUCACUUGUCCGGGUGUGGUCACUUGUCCCGGUGCGGUCACUUGUCCAGGGGUGGUCACUUGUCCCGGUGCGGUCACUUGUCCCAGUGUGGUCACUUGUCCAGGGGUCGUCACUUGUCCAGGUGUGGUCACUUGUCCAGGUGCGGUCACUUGUCCCAGUGUGGUCACUUGUCCAGGUGUCAUCACUUGUCCAGGUCCGGUCACUUGUCCGGGUGCGGUCACUUGUCCCAGUGUGGUCACUUGUCCAGGUGUCGUCACUUGUCCAGGUGUGGUCACAUCUUCAGAUACUGUCCCUUGUCUCGGCAGCAGGCAUGUCUGUGUCACGCACCUGAUGAGCCCCUGGAAUGAGCCUCGUUUGCUUUCUGCUCUGUGUCCCCCCCACUCAGCAGUUACUGCAGACCCUUUUGAGCCCCUGCCCAGCGCCUACCUCUCUCUGAGGACAAGUGCACCCACCCCAUGGUUCUGGGCCAGGGGGUGUUCAUGGCCUGACAGUCUCUGGCGACAGCUAAUCACCCCUUGACGUUGGCCACUCCCCCCGUGGGUCUGGCUUUGGGAUUUGGGGUCCUCCUGGCUUCACUCCAGAGCCUGGGUCUAGUGGCCAGGGUCUCAGCUCGAUUUCUUGGCACAGAUGAAAUGCAGUUGGCACCUUUGUUCUCGGUGGCCAUCCUGCACCCCCGGCACAGGCUCCUUUUGGAAGCAGCUGUUGUGCUGUCCCUCUGUUAGGGUUGAAAGGUGUCCCCCCAAACAGGAUGUUGAGGUCCGAACUCCAGAACCUCACAAUGUGGACGCCUUUGGUGAUAGGGUUGCUGCAGGUACAACUGGUUAAGGCUUGGUCAUCCCGGAGCCGCUAACCCAGCAUGACUGGUGUCCUUUGAAACGGCCGUGUGAGGGUGGGACAGCUAGGGCUGGUGGACGUAGAGGGUGGAGGCACACAGCCACCAGCCAAGGAUCACCAGUGACCCCAGAGGCUGGAAGAAGCAGGACAGACCCUCUGCUACAGGCUGCAUGGCCCAGUCUCUCCCUCGUCACCUGCAUCCCUGUGCCACCAGCUUCCUGACAACCUGGCCUUUCCUGAGGGACGGAGACGAGGGGUUGCAGAGCCAACACGGCUGGGCAAAGUGCCUGGAGAACCAGCUCCUGGCCAGGGGCAGGGAGGACCGACCCUGAUGUCAGCUUGCAGGUCAAACCCCCCUUGGACUGGCCACCUCUGGGAUGGUUAGAGUGAAGGGCUGGGGCAGGGAGGCAGCUCAGCGCGGUUGGCUGGCUCCCGGGGGCAGCUCGGCCAGCAGGAAGGACUGGGUGCCAGGCUCACUCCAUCAAGUGGACACAGCGGUGGGCAGGUCUCAGCUGCGUCUGCUCUCUUGGGAGAACCCAGGUGGCCCCAGGCGAGGCCCUGCCCCCUGCGCCUGACGACCGAGCAGUCCACUUGAGUGGGGUGACAUGUGCGUCACCCCAAAGCAGCUUGGACUCCCCUGCUCCUGUGCCCACCUGGCCCAUGGGGCUGCCCCGCCAGCCAAGGGUCUGACCAUCUGCCUCCACUCAGCAUAUGCCGCUGUUUCAGUCUUUUCUGCCCUUUGCAGUUUCUAGAAAUGAGUGGGAAAUGGGAAAACAAAAGGGCUAAGAACUAAAAGCGCAGCUCUCACAACUUAAAAUAGCCACUCAAUAAAAAUGCAAUUUAAAAAAAGUAGCUGGAGUUGCAGGGGGAGUGGGAGGUCUUCAGCCUUGACCGGCUUUGUCCCUCUGCCCCGCCCCCUGCUUCCGGGGCAGCUCCAUCCCCAGCGGUUUGCACUUGGCCUUCCCCUUGACGCCCACUUUCCUGCACACCCGCAGCUGGCCUGGAGAGCACAACGCAGCACCUCUCACUGCCACUGCCUGCGGGCUUCAGCCUGGGGCGGUUUGCCAGCUUUGCUUCUCCCAGCUUCGAGAACCUGCGUGGUGACAGGUGCCUCCGCCCUGCAGCUGUCUUCACGCCGGUCAGAGCCAAGCCCCCAAGCCCCACUCUAGAUGUGUCCCCCUCCCCUGCCACCUGGCCCCUGGCUCACUUCGUCCUUGCCACGUGGGUCCUCUGCUGCCCCUGAGCUUUCCAGAACCAUCCCCAGUAUCUGCAUGACUCCCCCCUCACGUCCCGCAAACCCUUGCUCAGAUGUCACCUUCUCAGUGAGGUCCCUGAUGUGGCGGGGGUUUCCUGACCCGCUUUGCUUUCCCCGGAACCCUGGUGCCCUGCAGCCCCUCCCCCACUGGCUCGCUACACAAGGACCACCCGGACCAAGGCUGCUGUGUUGUUUCUAUCCGUGAUGUCUGGCUCACUCACCAUACAUCCUGGCGGUGGCAGGGGGUCUUUGCUACAGAGCAAUGUUAAAUCGAGGUGAAGCUGUGUGUUUCAUUACUAAACAAAUCAAAGAACAUGCAAAGAGGAUAAAUGCGACAAACCUGAGUGUCCUGUCCGUUUUUGAUGUCUACACCUUUGAACUGUGUUUAUGUGUUCAGGGACCUGGAACACCUGUAGGGCCCCCCACCCCCGGAUUUCCAGAAAUCAGUAAAAAGGAUCAGAAGAUUACACUUUGCUUAAAAAUAAUUUCCCUAUGUCAAU